GCUUCGUUCACUACUCGCCAUAGUAUAUUAGUGGCGACUGGAGAGGAAGGGUAUUUGCUGUGUGGUAUUAAUCCUGGUCGCCUUUGUCUUUAUCGUUUGUCUUCGUUUCUGUACGAGGCAGAGGUGGAAGGAGAAGUGGGAAGGAAGGCAUUGUCUCCGUCCUGCAGGAACAAAAGUAACUAUUACCCUUUGGCUGUGUCCACUUGGCCCUCUUCCCUGCGCUUCAAGUAAUAGGGUGAUGUUGGGGUCAUCAGUAAAGCCGUUGCUUCCUGGAAGUCUUGCAGUGCACCCACACAAGAGCUUGAGCCAUCGCUAGCACUAGUUUCUGUUGCCUUGGAGUCUUUACUUUGAUUUAGGUGGCGUGCCCUGACGCUUCCAGCAUCCACCACCACAACGUGAUGGCCUCGUCCCUGCUUUGCCGCUGCUGCUGGCACUGCUGCAAACCGUCACACUAACACCUCUGUGGUCACCAUUGCGUUAGACUUGUUAGCUAGCUGUGAUGCUGGUGAUAAAGCUGCCCUGUGUGCUAAGAGUUCAAAGGACUCCUUAACUUAUUUAGUUUCUUUUUCGUUUUUUUUUUUUUUAAUAUUUUGUGUUCUAUGGGAAGGGUCAAGUCUUUCUCCGGAGAGUCUUUGAGGUAAAUUUUUAGGAGUGAGUAAAAAAGAAGGGAUUCAUAGUGGAGAGUAGAUUCAUAGUGGAGAGUGUCUUCAAAGGUCCUUCCUUGUAGGACAUGCGUAUUGAAUGAAUGGAGGUUUUAUUUGUUUCCCCUAUUCAAGACUGACUGACUCCCUCGAUACAAGACUGACACCUCGCAUGUAGGGAAAUUGUGAAAGAACGGAGGACUGAAGGUAAUAAAGGUAUUAAUAAUGUGAAGAA